GAUGAACGCUGGCGGCGUGCCUAAUACAUGCAAGUCGAGCGAACGGACGAGAAGCUUGCUUCUCUGAUGUUAGCGGCGGACGGGUGAGUAACACGUGGAUAACCUACCUAUAAGACUGGGAUAACUUCGGGAAACCGUAGCUAAUACCGGCUAAUAUUUUGAACCGCAUGGUUCAAAAGUGAAAGACGGUCUUGCUGUCACUUAUAGAUGUAUCCGCGCUGCAUUAGCUAGUUGGUAAGGUAACGGCUUACCAAGGCAACGAUGCAUAGCCGACCUGAGAGGGUGAUCGGCCACACUGGAACUGAGACACGGUCCAGACUCCUACGGGAGGCAGCAGUAGGGAAUCUUCCGCAAUGGGCGAAAGCCUGACGGAGCAACGCCGCGUGAGUGAUGAAGGUCUUCGGAUCGUAAAACUCUGUUAUUAGGGAAGAACAUAUGUGUAAGUAACUGUGCACAUCUUGACGGUACCUAAUCAGAAAGCCACGGCUAGCUACGUG
rnacentral:rRNA from 1 species